rfam:Arenimonas metalli CF5-1 contig18, whole genome shotgun sequence.
CGUCCUCUGCCGUGUUCGACAGCGUGCCUAACAUUACGCCUUGUCCCAUAAACACGACCCGGGAAUCCGCCCCGACCGCGGUGUGCAUGUCCGCCCUGCUGCGGAAAGCCUGAAGCGGCGGAUCGGGUACCCACUUGAUCCCUGGGAUCAAGGUCGUUUCGUACGCAUCGGCAUGGUGGAGGAACU